rnacentral:rRNA from 1 species
GGCUCAGGAUGAACGCUAGCGACAGGCCUAACACAUGCAAGUCGAGGGGCAGCACAAGGAGCAAUCUGAGGUGGCGGCCGGCGCACGGGUGAGUAACACGUAUGCAACCUGCCUGUAAGCGGGGAAUAACCCGUUGAAAGACGGACUAAUACCGCAUAAUACUAAAUUACUGCAUGGUAAUUUAUUUAAACAUUUAUGGCUUACAGAUGGGCAUGCGCAUGAUUAGCUAGUUGGAGAGGUAACGGCUCCCCAAGGCAACGAUCAUUAGGGGUUCUGAGAGGAAGGUCCCCCCACACUGGUACUGAGACACGGACCAGACUCCUACGGGAGGCAGCAGUGAGGAAUAUUGGUCAAUGGACGAGAGUCUGAACCAGCCAAGUCGCGUGCAGGAAGAAUGUCCUAUGGAUUGUAAACUGCUUUUGCAGGGGAAUAAAGUGCAUCACGUGUGAUGUUUUGUAUGUACUCUGCGAAUAAGGAUCGGCUAACUCCGUGCCAGCCGCGGC